rnacentral:rRNA from 1 species
GACGAACCGUGCGAACGUUGUUCGGCAUCACUGGGCUUAAAGGGCGCGUAGGCGGGUUGUCAAGUCCGGGGUGAAAGCCCCCAGCUCAACUGGGGAAGUGCCUUGGAUACUGGGAACCUCGAGGGAGGUAGGGGCGUGCGGAACUUCCGGUGGAGCGGUGAAAUGCGUAGAUAUCGGAAGGAACACCGGUGGCGAAGGCAGCUCUCUGGGACGGUACUGACGCUGAGACGCGAAAGCGUGGGGAGCGAACAGG